CAAGCCUGAGGUUGUAGAGAGCGUGCCACCUCCCCAGGGAUUCUGAUGAUGAAGUGAGGUCGUGUAUUAAGCACCCAGUACGAAGUCCAGCAUUCAGUAGGGCUCACAAGGAAGAGCCUGUUAACAUCUUGCAAACACACUGCGGUGCAGCAUCAGCUUCAAAACAUCCCAGAGAGGACAGCGCUUACCCCGUGGAAAGAAUGGCUACAGGAGGAAUUUCAGGUCCUGUGAUGGGGAGAUGAGGGGGAUCCUUUCUCCUCCAGGCUCUCUCUGGCCACUGUCUUGUGACCCUCAUGCCUAUGUGAGCUCCUUGGAAGCUAGCAUGUUCCAGCAACCUGGAUGUCGGGCCCAGCCCUCACAAGGUGGAGGUAAUACCUGUUUGGAAAACUCUGCCCCCACCGCAAACGCUCUCUCUCUCUCUCUCUUUCCCUCCCCCACAAAGAGGCUCCCUUAUCUCUCACUUUACAUACCGGUCCUAGCCCUCCCGCCGCCCAGCUUCCCGCCGCCCAGCUUCCCACCCAGCAGUUCAAACUGACCAACAGUUGCCACCACCUCGGCUUUUGGCUUCCCCACCCCCCAGCCCUUCAGCCCCCUAUAAAACAACCCUGCCCCUCUGAGCAGCACGGCCAUUUUUCCUUUUCGUCCCGGCUGGCCUGCCCGGAGGCUCUUUCCUCCCAAUAAAGCCUGAACUUAAGGAAUUUCCUCUAGCCUGCGGUCCGGUUUCUUUCCCAAUGAGCCCAGUCUUCCCGCAGAGGGUAGGUCGGACAAAUGGUGCCGGAAACCCGGGACGGGAGCUGGGGCCGUUGGCCCGGCCACGGCCCCCCUCCCCGACCUACCCAACACUGGCCCUGCCACCUCCACGUUCCGAUUAAGCCGAAUUCCAGAUGCUGCAAACUCCCCAUCGCUGCACCCGAUGAGCUGCCUUCCUACCCAUUGCCGUUGGAGUCUCCCUUGCUGGUUCAGCACUUGCAGCAGGAUUAGGAGGAGGGGCACUAGUCCACUCUCACCUGGCUAUAGCCCGACUGACCUCGCAAUUCCAAGCAGCUAUUGAUGACUCUACUGAGUCUUUAGCAUCACUCCAACGACAGAUCACCUCAGUUGCCCAAGUUGCCUUACAGAACUGAAGAGCCCUAGACCUGCUCACUGCUGAACGAGGAGGGACCUGUAUCUUCCUACAAGAAGAGUGCUGUUACUACAUCUGUGAAUCCGGCCUAGUAGAAACCCGAAUCGAGAGCCUCCAGAAACUCGAAACUAACCUCUAGAGUCAGAAGUUCUCGGCUGAAGCCACAGCGUGGUGGUCUUCCUCUAUGUAUACCCUCUUGUCACCAUUGCUUGGGCCCCUAAUAGCCGUUUGCCUAAUCUUACUUAUUGCUCCUUGCUUUCUCCAGUUCCUACAGCGGCUCUUUCAAGAACUGACUGGAGUCACCAUCCACCAGAUGCUGCUCCAACCCCACCCUGAACGAGUGCAAGAAACAGACCUCUCCCCAAA